rnacentral:rRNA from 1 species
CCCACAUCCGCUCCAAACCCCCACCCCCACCACUAAACCAAAAACCAAGUGUUUUCCCCCCUCUUUCACCCCCUCCCUGCACGAAGCUUGUGGAGGUGGGGCCAGCACAGCACAGCAAUGCUACCACUCUCCUACGCGCCACCGCUACCGCCGCCACAGUCGCGACCGAACCCCACCCCUAGCCACAAGCCCAAGCCCCAGCCGUGCGUGCUUCUCUUCCCUGCCGCCCUCCGAACGGCGGCCGCGGCGGCCGCCAUCUCCUUCUCCCUCCUCGCCGGCAACGCCGCGGCUGUGGCGGCGGUGGAGCAGCCCCCGGAGAUAUGCCGCGGCCAGGACGACGGGAGGGAGGUAGAGGUGAAGGCCGAGGCGGUGACGAACGAGCAGCUCGUGGAGGAGGCGUGGGAGGUGGUCAACGAGGGCUUCCUCCCCGACGCCGGCAGCCGCCCGUGGUCACCGGAGCUGUGGAUGCAACGGAAGCAAGAUAUCCUUCAAGGUUCAAUCAAAUCCCGCUCUAGAGCCCACGACAUCAUCACGAAAAUGCUAGCUAGCCUGGGUGAUCCAUAUACAAGAUUCCUGUCGUCCUCAGAUUUCUCGAAGAUGUCGAAGUAUGACAUGACGGGGAUUGGGUUGAACUUAAGAGAGAUUCCUGAUGACAAUGGUUCUUUAAGGUUGGUGGUAUUAGGAUUGAUACUAGAUGGGCCUGCUCACUCUGCUGGUGUUAGACAGGGUGAUGAGCUUUUGUCUGUCAAUGGUAUCGAUGUAAGAGGUAAAUCUGCAUUUGACGUGUCGUCCAUGCUGCAAGGCCCAAAGGAAACUUUUGUUACAAUUAAGGUUAAGCAUGACAGCUGUGGUCCUGUUGAGUCAAUGAAAGUGCAAAGGCAGAUGGCUGCUCGCACUCCAAUUUUCUAUCGUUUGGAGAAAAGAGACAAUGAGAAUUCAUCUGUCGGAUAUAUUCACAUUAAAGAAUUUAAUGCAGUGGCCAAAAAAGAUUUGGUCAGCGGUGUGUUGCUGCACUGAAACGUCUACAAAAUUCAGGUGCCUCCUAUUUUGUUUUGGACCUGAGAGACAAUCUUGGUGGACUAGUGCAAGCUGGAAUAGAGAUUGCAAAGCUCUUCUUGAACAAAGGAGACACGGUCAUUUAUACUACUGGCCGGGAUCGUCAAGUCCAAAAUACAAUUGUUGCUGACAGUGGACCUUUGGUUACAACUCCUGUGAUGGUACUGGUGAAUAAUAGGACAGCAAGUGCCAGCGAAAUAGUCGCUUCAGCACUUCAUGACAAUUGCAAAGCUGUUCUUGUCGGUGAAAGGACUUUUGGCAAGGGCUUAAUCCAAUCAGUAUUUGAACUUCAUGAUGGUUCUGGUAUUGUCGUCACAGUUGGCAAAUAUGUCACGCCAAAUCACAAAGACAUCAAUGGAGAUGGAAUAGAACCAGACUACCGCCGUCUUCCUGAUCUCAAUGAAGCCAGAGAUUACCUUUCGCGUUGCCAAAGCAAGAAAUUAAGUUGAGGUGAAGUGCUUUAUUACAAAGCUUCUUACACAGCAACACAUUAGAAGUAUGGAAUGGAGCGUUAUGCCCAGAAGAAUUGCACAGCGAAGAAUGAACUCUCCCUGGUGAGGUGAGACCACAAGCUCAAGCUCUACAUCGAAGCCUCAAUUCAAUAUAGGCAUCUGCAGAGAUCAGAGUGAGCAUGUCCUUGGAUACCGGUGCUGCAGCUCGGUAGAGAAAGGAAAGAGCACAUUGGCUUCUGCUGAAUAUACCCAGCACCAAUAUGUAAAUAGCUUGUGAUCCGUGUGCAACCAGUGGCAUUCGUCAUAUAAAGAAGUGCAAUAGUAGCUCUAAUCCAAGCAUUUUGCCAAGACACUAUCUUAGAGCAACGCUAGCAGAUCCCCAAAAGGGCAGCCUCCAAAAUCGUUUUGGAGUGCACUUUAAAUUUCACAGGACAUAUUUGAAGUAUAGAGAAACAAAAACUGUAGUUCUGUGGCAGUCUUGCACAGACGCAUCAGGCAUCGCAACAAGACUCAGUUGGGCGGUAGUACUUGGUGCGCGCAAUGGGAAAUCCUCGCUCCCGAUGACGACACAUGGGAGGAUGCACCGAUCAUCAACAAAUACAUUUCCACGUCACAAACUUCUUUGCCUUGAGGACAAGGCGCAACUCAAGAUGACGAUAGUCUAUACUGUCUCAAACUCAUCUGAACAGACACACUGCUACCUGAAGAAACACAAUACUAGCACUGAGUGGAACAAAAUUUUCCAGAGAAUGAAACACAACACUAGCACUCUCCAAAGAAUGGAACACAACACUAGCACUGAGUGGAACAAAAUGCUCCAGAGAAUGACAGACUGAGAUGAGCCAAGGCGACUUAAGUGAAGAUGUGCGGCUUUACAUUCUUUUGCUCACACCUUUUUCCCGGAACAUCAACAUUUACUUCUAC